GGGUUGUGAGGUUAAGCGACUAAGCGUACACGGUGGAUGCCCUGGCAGUCAGAGGCGAUGAAGGACGUGCUAAUCUGCGAAAAGCGUCGGUAAGGUGAUAUGAACCGUUAUAGCCGGCGAUGUCCGAAUGGGGAAACCCAGUGCAAUUCGUUGCACUAUCGUUAACUGAAUACAUAGGUUAACGAGGCGAACCGGGGGAACUGAAACAUCUAAGUACCCCGAGGAAAAGAAAUCAACCGAGAUUCCCCCAGUAGCGGCGAGCGAACGGGGAGCAGCCCAGAGUCUGAAUCAGCUUGUGUGUUAGUGGAACGGUCUGGAAAGUCCGACGGUACAGGGUGAUAGUCCCGUACACCAAAAUGCACAGGCUGUGAACUCGAAGAGUAGGGCGGGACACGUGGUAUCCUGUCUGAAUAUGGGGGGACCAUCCUCCAAGGCUAAAUACUCCUGACUGACCGAUAGUGAACCAGUACCGUGAGGGAAAGGCGAAAAGAACCCCGGCGAGGGGAGUGAAAAAGAACCUGAAACCGUGUACGUACAAGCAGUGGGAGCACCUUCGGGUGUGACUGCGUACCUUUUGUAUAAUGGGUCAGCGACUUAUAUUCUGUAGCAAGGUUAACCGUAUAGGGGAGCCGCAGGGAAACCGAGUCUUAACUGGGCGUUAAGUUGCAGGGUAUAGACCCGAAACCCGGUGAUCUAGCCAUGGGCAGGUUGAAGGUUGGGUAACACUAACUGGAGGACCGAACCGACUAAUGUUGAAAAAUUAGCGGAUGACUUGUGGCUGGGGGUGAAAGGCCAAUCAAACCGGGAGAUAGCUGGUUCUCCCCGAAAGCUAUUUAGGUAGCGCCUCGUGAAUUCAUCUUCGGGGGUAGAGCACUGUUUCGGCUAGGGGGUCAUCCCGACUUACCAACCCGAUGCAAACUACGAAUACCGAAGAAUGUUAUCACGGGAGACACACGGCGGGUGCUAACGUCCGUCGUGAAGAGGGAAACAACCCAGACCGCCAGCUAAGGUCCCAAAGUCAUGGUUAAGUGGGAAACGAUGUGGGAAGGCACAGACAGCCAGGAUGUUGGCUUAGAAGCAGCCAUCAUUUAAAGAAAGCGUAAUAGCUCACUGGUCGAGUCGGCCUGCGCGGAAGAUGUAACGGGGCUAAACCAUGCACCGAAGCUGCGGCAGCGACACUAUGUGUUGUUGGGUAGGGGAGCGUUCUGUAAGCCUGCGAAGGUGGCCUGUGAGGGUUGCUGGAGGUAUCAGAAGUGCGAAUGCUGACAUAAGUAACGAUAAAGCGGGUGAAAAGCCCGCUCGCCGGAAGACCAAGGGUUCCUGUCCAACGUUAAUCGGGGCAGGGUGAGUCGACCCCUAAGGCGAGGCCGAAAGGCGUAGUCGAUGGGAAACAGGUUAAUAUUCCUGUACUUGGUGUUACUGCGAAGGGGGGACGGAGAAGGCUAUGUUAGCCGGGCGACGGUUGUCCCGGUUUAAGCAUGUAGGCUGGUUAUCCAGGCAAAUCCGGAUAAUCAAGGCUGAGGUGUGAUGACGAGGCACUACGGUGCUGAAGUAACAAAUGCCCUGCUUCCAGGAAAAGCCUCUAAGCAUCAGGUAACAUCAAAUCGUACCCCAAACCGACACAGGUGGUCAGGUAGAGAAUACCAAGGCGCUUGAGAGAACUCGGGUGAAGGAACUAGGCAAAAUGGUGCCGUAACUUCGGGAGAAGGCACGCUGGUGUGUAGGUGAAGUCCCUGCGGAUGGAGCUGAGACCAGUCGAAGAUACCAGCUGGCUGCAACUGUUUAUUAAAAACACAGCACUGUGCAAACACGAAAGUGGACGUAUACGGUGUGACGCCUGCCCGGUGCCGGAAGGUUAAUUGAUGGGGUUAUCCGUAAGGAGAAGCUCUUGAUCGAAGCCCCGGUAAACGGCGGCCGUAACUAUAACGGUCCUAAGGUAGCGAAAUUCCUUGUCGGGUAAGUUCCGACCUGCACGAAUGGCGUAAUGAUGGCCAGGCUGUCUCCACCCGAGACUCAGUGAAAUUGAACUCGCUGUGAAGAUGCAGUGUACCCGCGGCAAGACGGAAAGACCCCGUGAACCUUUACUAUAGCUUGACACUGAACAUUGAGCCUUGAUGUGUAGGAUAGGUGGGAGGCUUUGAAGCGUGGACGCCAGUCUGCGUGGAGCCAACCUUGAAAUACCACCCUUUAAUGUUUGAUGUUCUAACGUUGGCCCCUUACCGGGGUUGCGGACAGUGUCUGGUGGGUAGUUUGACUGGGGCGGUCUCCUCCCAAAGCGUAACGGAGGAGCACGAAGGUUAGCUAAUCCUGGUCGGACAUCAGGAGGUUAGUGCAAUGGCAUAAGCUAGCUUGACUGCGAGCGUGACGGCGCGAGCAGGUGCGAAAGCAGGUCAUAGUGAUCCGGUGGUUCUGAAUGGAAGGGCCAUCGCUCAACGGAUAAAAGGUACUCCGGGGAUAACAGGCUGAUACCGCCCAAGAGUUCAUAUCGACGGCGGUGUUUGGCACCUCGAUGUCGGCUCAUCACAUCCUGGGGCUGAAGUAGGUCCCAAGGGUAUGGCUGUUCGCCAUUUAAAGUGGUACGCGAGCUGGGUUUAGAACGUCGUGAGACAGUUCGGUCCCUAUCUGCCGUGGGCGCUGGAGAAUUGAGGGGGGCUGCUCCUAGUACGAGAGGACCGGAGUGGACGCAUCACUGGUGUUCGGGUUGUCAUGCCAAUGGCACUGCCCGGUAGCUAAAUGCGGAAGAGAUAAGUGCUGAAAGCAUCUAAGCACGAAACUUGCCCCGAGAUGAGUUCUCCCUGAGACUUUAAGUCUCCUGAAGGAACGUUAAAGACGAUGACGUUGAUAGGCCGGGUGUGUAAGCGCAGCGAUGCGUUGAGCUAACCGGUACUAAUGAACCGUGAGGCUUAACCUUACAACGCCGAAG
rnacentral:rRNA from 1 species